ensembl:misc_RNA Gm27553 predicted gene, 27553
CUUAUAUAAAUCUUCAAAUUAAUAUUUCUGUAAGUGUUACUCUUACAAAAAACAUCCUUUGAUUUCAUUC